rnacentral:rRNA from 1 species
UAAGGGCGCACGGUGGAUGCCUUGGCACUAGGAGCCGAAGAAGGACGGGACUAACACCGAUAUGC